rnacentral:rRNA from 1 species
CCUACGGGUGGCAGCAGUGAGGAAUAUUGGUCAAUGGGCGCGAGCCUGAACCAGCCAAGUAGCGUGAAGGAUGACUGCCCUACGGGUUGUACACUUCUUUUAUAAAGGAGUAAAGUGAGGCACGUGUGCCUUUUUGUAUGUACUUUAUGAAUAAGGAUCGGCUAACUCCGUGCCAGCAGCCGCGGUAAUACGGAGGAUCCGAGCGUUAUCCGGGUUUAAUGGGUUUAAAGGGAGCGUAGAUGGGUUGUUAAGUCAGUUGUGAAAUUUUGUGGCUCAACCGUGAAAUUGCAAUUGAUACUGGCAGUCUGGAGUACAGUUGAGGUAGGCGGAAUUCGUGGUGUAGCGGUGAAAUGCUUAGAUAUCACGCAGAACUCCGAUUGUGAAGGCAGCUUACUAAACUGCCACUGACAUUGAUGCUCGAAAGUGUGGGUAUCAAACAGGAUUAGAUACCCCAGUAGUC